UACGAAGGUGGCAAGCGUUACUCGGAAUUACUAGGCGUAAAGGGCAGGUAGGUGGUUUGGUUAGUCUGUUGUGAAAGCUCCCGGCUUAACUGGGAGAGGUCAACGGAUACUGCCGAACUUGAGUAUAGGAGAGGUUACUGGAAUUCCCGGUGUAGCGGUGAAAUGCGCAGAGAUCGGGAGGAACACCAAUGGCGAAGGCGGGUCUCUGGGCCGAUACUGACGCUGAGGAGCGAAAGCGUGGGGAGCGAACAGG
rnacentral:rRNA from 1 species